GUAUUUAGAAUUAUUUCAUUCAAAAAUAGCUUCAGACAAAAAAAAUUGCAAUAAAAAAGUUGGUAUUAUGCGCAUGGCGCGUCACUUGACGCGACGCGUGUAAGCACAAACAUUUCACACAAGGUGAGUACUUGUUUAAAAAGUGCAGUAGAACACUUGUUAUGAAUGAUCCUUCCGCAGGUUCACCUACGGAAA
rnacentral:misc_RNA from 1 species